rnacentral:rRNA from 1 species
UACAGAGGUCCCAAGCGUUGUUCGGAUUCACUGGGCGUAAAGGGUGCGUAGGUGGUGAGGUAAGUCGGAUGUGAAAGCUCGGAGCUCAACUCCGAAAUGGCAUUGGAAACUACCUUGCUCGAGGGUUGGAGGGGGGACUGGAAUGCUUGGCGUAGCAGUGAAAUGCGUAGAUAUCAAGCGGAACACCAGUGGCGAAGGCGAGUCCCUGGACAACUCCUGACACUGAGGCACGAAAGCUAGGGGAGCAAACAGG